rnacentral:lncRNA from 1 species
AAAGACAGUGCGCCGUGCGGUCGCUGCGGUUUAUAUUAGGUUUUCCGUGCUCAUCGUUCAACAUUGCGACAAUCAAUUAACCAGGUUAGGUUAUGUUACUGUUGUGAUAAAUAAACACGUGCAUUUUUUUCCUUCAGCAAUAUCAAUUUUGCGUUGAAAACACCCAAAAUUUUACAAAACUGUGGGCUACGUUGAAUUCCCAUGUUUUCAGCUGAUUGAAGAUUCUUUCCUGACUUGUCGCAAUUCAUCGUAUUCAUAUUCAUACACGAUGGAUGAUGCUAUGGAUGGAUCAAGUGUCAAAAGGAAGAGCGUCAAGGAGUUGACAAAGAAAGGUGGUAAAAGGGAUGGAACAGCCAAGCGAGCAAAAAAAAGCUUAGCAGCUGAAUCACCGAAAAAGUCUCACUCUAAAGUGGAGAAAAAGAAACAUAAAUUAGAAAAGAAAACAAAGAAGGAUUUGAAGAAAAUUACAAAAGAACUAGGAAAAUUGAAUGCAGAUGAGACGGGAAAAGGCAAAGCAAAAAAGCAGCAAGGCUCUAUAGAGACUGAUGCUCAAAAAAAUCCCAACUUAGAAAGGUUGAAUGAUGCUUGGGGAAGAGCCAUGAAAGAUGUUGCGGAGCAGACAACCUCAGAAUUCCAGAAAGAAUUACUCAAAAAAUGUGAAGGUCAGGUUGUACCUCGCGACAGAAGAGCAAAUUUAUGAACUGGAUUGAAGAGAAUCUUCACUACAGCAAAACAGAACACUAUAGUAAGCUGAGGACUAUUUGGAGGGCUGUCAAAGAAGUAUAUAACAAACAUAAACCGAUGACAAAAACACAUAAACGAAAAAUGGAGAAAAAACGAAGCCAAGUUCGGAAGCAACUUUCUGCCCAGGCGUUCAAAGCUGAGAAUCCACUAGAUGAAGAAACACUCAAAAAGAAGAGAGAAAAAGCUAUGAUAAAGAGGGCAAAACUGAAGAAAAAGAAAUUGGACAAUUUAUUAAAAAAGAAAAGUGGAAUGCGAGUAAAAGAUAGUGCACCACUAAGCGAGGAGCAGAAAGAUGUUGUGAUGAAGGAGUUGAAGAAAAAGAGUAAAGAUAAGAAGAAAGUAAGCUUUUAGGUAUUUAAGUAUACAAUACAUUCGCCACUUAGGUGAUCAAGGAUGGGACUCAAUUUGGGCUAUAUUUUGGAAACACUUAAAAAAUUAUAUCUCUCAUUGAACUUGCAAUUUUCCCUGUGGGUAGGAAUGGUUCCAUGCAUUUUUAAAAGUGAAUGGUUAACUGGAAGUACUUGCAAUUUUUCCUUUUUUUCCUGUAAUGCAAACAUUUUACUUUUUAUCCGUCUAGAAUUUUUCAUGAAAAACAAAGGAAACAUUAUUUUUGGUGGCAUCAAUACCUUUUCAUUCAUAAUUAUUUUACCAGUAAAAAUUAUGUUAUGAAAGAUCAAAAUUUGUAUAACUUUUUCGAGCGUCUUCUUUUGAGUCGUAAACUGUUGCAGAUCUUUCAAAAGUCCAACUGUCUCAAUGUUUCAACAUUAAUGACUAUAAAGUUUACUGUAGAUGUGACAGCAUUGUCAAGUUAUUUUAUCAUAUGCUUCAUUGAAAUAAUGUUUCAAACUAGUUUUAUAAAACCAUGGUGAAAUUCGAAUAAAAUUCUUUAAAAAAAAUACAACUGAAGACUUGGUUCUUCUCUCUUUAUAGAGAUUAAUCGAAACAAAAGUGGCCAAACAUGAAGAAGGGAGUCAACCGCUAAUGUAAGAUAAGUUGGUGUAUUUCCACCUGAGGAAAAUCUAGGAGCUCAAGAAUGUUAAAUAAUAUUAUCAAAAUCAAGCCCAAACUAAAUUCUAAUCUUAGUCUUAAUAACCAAAAAUGCUUCAUGCCUUCCAUUUUUGCUCAAGGACUGAUAAAAGAUCCUUUUUUUAGCCGCUAAAGGCACAAAAAGCAAGCAUUAAUUUGCUUUUUAGAUGGCCUAGAAUUUUAUGACAGUGACAAAUACAAAAUUAUGAAAAUAACGUACUCAAUUUUAGUAACUUUUACAGACUCACAUUUCGUGAAGCUUAUCAAACUGAACUCUACUAGGUUCGCAGACAGAUACAGCAGGAAAUGGGAUGUAAGCAUGUGGAUACAUUAUCGUGCUUAUUGUUGUUUUUGUCAGGCCAAGAAUAUAUUGUUGAUAAACGUCCAAGAUUGAUUUGGCUCCACCAAUUGUGGCUCCAAUGACGAGAACCAUCCACAAAAGCCUUGAGCAAAACAAAAAACCGAUUUCAAGAUAAACUCAAGCCAAAAUGAAAUGAAACGAAUGAAUAUAUUCGUAAUAAUAGCACCCUCACAAAUUAGAAACAAAACCAAACCGUUAACCAAUUAUGCAAAUUCGAAGCUGAAAAUUCCCUCUCCCCAAUUAUUCAUUUGAUGCUUCUCCACAAAAAUGAUUUUUAACAAAUUUCAUUAAACAGUUAUGUUUAUUACCUCUACCUACUCUCACUGUCCAGAUAAAAGUGAGCAAAGUACGUUUCCUGAACAAGAUGGUAGAACAAAGCUGGGGUUACUUUAUUUUCUUAUAAGAAAUCAAAGCCUGAAAGAACACUCACUUUCUCAGUUUUUCACCGGAAUUCAUCAGAAUUCAUUGUGACUCUAAUUCUAAUUUUUAGUUCACUUAUUCCUAUUUUGAUUUCCUGUCAGAACAGAAACCAUAUUAUUACUUACAGUCUUCGUGCUGUAUUUUCAGUAGUUUAUUUUUUUGAGUCUCUUUUUGUAGUUAUCUACAUGGUAGCAUGAAAGCUCGGCUAUGUAAGACAGUUAUUACUGCCACUUAUCAUUGAAGAAUUCUGAUAGAUGUUUUCUCUUGAUGUUUUCUAUUUGCAAUGCAGUCCCACUGAAAACCCAUCAGAGGGUAUGUUGUUUCGUAUUGCAUAUAUCUCUAUUUACAUUAAUUUCAUAUAUUUUUUUCUCAAACCUAUCGAAUGGGGGAUUAUCUGGAGAUGCAGCAUGAUGGACUCCAUGAACUGCUUUUAGCUCCCCAAACUCCUCCAAGCAUUUCUGGCAUUUUAGUCUCCUUUUAUUUCUUCUUUGCAUUCAAGUCGAUAUUUGCUCUUCACUGCCAAGUAUUUUUUGUAGUAAUCUGUUGGAAAAAAGACAACUUUAAACUCUUUCAACCCAGAAUCUGUUUGACAUAAAGUUGGUGAGAACAGUGUUAGAGCUCAAUAAUUACUUAUUAUAUUGGAGGGAGAGUACCUAAUAACUAAGUACAAUAUAACAUCCCGUAUUCCUCUCUUUCUCUUCAUAGAAAUGAGA